AGGAUGAACGCUGGCGGCGUGCUUAACACAUGCAAGUCAUGGGGGCCCGAAGCGCAAGCUUUGGGCAACCGGCGAACGGGUGCGUAACACGUGAGCAACCUACCCAGGUGUGGGGGAUAGCCGUCCCAACGGACGGGUAAUACCGCAUACGCUCAACACGAGGCAUUUCGAGUUGAGGAAACCUUCGGGGCACCAUGAGGGGCUCGCGGCCUAUCAGCUAGUUGGCGAGGUAACGGCUCACCAAGGCUACGACGGGUAGCUGGUCUGAGAGGAUGACCAGCCACAUUGGGACUGAGAAACGGCCCAGACUCCUACGGGAGCAGCAGUGGGGAAUCGUUGCGCAAUGGACCUAACGGCUGACGCAGCGACGCCGCGUGAGGAUGACGCUCUUCGGAGUGUAAACCUCUUUGCCUGGAACGAAUUGCCACCAUCAGUGGCUGACGGUACCGGUAGAAUAAGCACCGCUAACUCCG
rnacentral:rRNA from 1 species